GCCAACUCUGCUUCUGUCAAAAUAGCUUGCUUACGUUUCCAGGAUGUGGUUUCUGCCUGUGUAAGUCCCCAGCACCCUCAGGUCGGGGCUGCUCACUGAACUCACUGCGCGGAGUGACAGUAAGCAGUCUCUGGCCGGCUGAUAAAGGCUCUUUAAAUUCUGUUUGGCUGUCUCGUACUUUAACUCGUGGGCACCGUAACAUUUGGAGGCCCCAGCGAGAUAAUCCUCGGUGUUUGCUGAGGCUCAUCGGUCGAGACAAAGGUCUGACUACCGGCCCUCCCCCAGGGGGCGCGCUGAGAGACGUUCCUCAGCCCGGCGGACAGCCAAGUGGUCAAGCCUCAAAAUUCAAAAAUCCGCCUCUGGAGCCAUCUAGACGUGGGCCCACAAUGGACUUUCGGCGACGAGCUGCAGGAUCGGGAGCCAUAGUCAACCCAGGAACUCUCUGGACCCUCUGCGAGCUUGAAUGGCCAACUUUUCCAGACUCUAAUUGGCCACCAGAGGGCACUCUAAACUUGCCAAUUGCCUUCCAGGUUCAGAGAGUUAUCUAUGGAAAACCGGGACAUGCGGAUUAAAUUCCACUACACCCCCGGCAACUCUCUCCAGCCCCCCCACAUCCGUUCCAGAGGUUCGUUCGGGUCACAUAGUCAGGUCCUUGUCCCCGCUCAAUUACCCCUGAAACAAGUCAUUACUCAUCUCUCUGUUAGAGUCCGUUUUCUUUACCCACCAGCCCACAUGGGACGACUGUCAACAACUUCUGCAGACCCUUUUCACGUCAGAGGAGACAGAGAGAAUCCGUGCCAGGGACGGAAACUAGUCGUGGGGCCAGACAGUCUGCCAGCCACGGAAGUAAACCGCCUCGAGGCUGUUUUUCCCUUCACCCGACCCCGGUGGGACCCUAACACGAAUGAAGAUAAGGAGGCUCGCUAACGGUACCGCCAGAGUGUGAUGGGGGCUCUCCGAGUAGCGGCGUGGAAGCCUACAAGUAUGUCCGAGGUAACUGAGGUAAGUCGGGCCACUGAGUCCCCUGCCGCUUUCCUGGAGCGCCUGCAGGAGGCUUAGCGGUUACACACCCCUAUAGAUCCGGAGGCGCCGGAGAACAGGCGAGCAGUUAAUAUUGCCUUUGUUGCCCAGUCAGCCCCAGAUAUAAGAAAAAAGUUACAGAAGUUAGAAGGCUUUGGGAAAAGGAACUGGGCGAGUUGGUGGAGGUUGCUCAACAAGUCUCCAAUAAUAGGGAAAGUUCCAAAGACUUAAACAAAAAUUGGCGCAGAUCCUACUUGCCAUGAGUGAAGACCAGACGCGGAGUAAAAACCGAGGAGAGGGUCAGAAGUUCGGAAGAAAGCCAGGGGGAGAAAAUAGACCGCCCAGUGGGAGAGAAGGGUGAAAGGCCCCCCCCAGGCCAAAACCAGUGCGCUUUCUGUAAGGAACAGGGGCACUGAAAAAACGAGUGCCCAGAAAAAAAAGCCCCACCAAAGGUUCUCCUAAAGAAGGAAGACUGACGAGGCCGGGGCUCCGCCCUUAGCCCCCAGGAGCCCAGAGUCACUCUUAAAGUAGAGGGCCGAAACAUUAACUUUUUAGUGAACACUGGGGCGACUUUCUCUGUACUCCAGGAAGCAGAAGGCACAGCUUUACAUUUCCCAAGUCUCCUGUCUUGGGUACAAUAUAGCAGAAGGAAAGGGAACGUUGUCUAAUAAAUGCAUUCAAGCUAUCCUCCAAAUUCCAGCACCCCGGACAAAGCGGCAGGUCCGGGAGUUUUUAGGAGCAGUUGGGUAUUGCGGCUAUGAAUCCUUAGGUUUGCUGAAAUAGCCCACCCUCUUUACACCAGUACCGGGGGAAAGGACAUUAAAAAUGCCUCAAAAAUACUAAAACUUUUAACAGCCCUUUAGCUUCCCAGAGCAGUAGCCAUAAUCCACUGCAAAGAACAUCAAACCUCAAAUACGCCCGAAGCAAAGGGAAAUGCUUUCGCCGACCAGACGGCCAAAGAAGUGGCCCUAAAACCAGUGGGGCCCCUCCAGAUCUUGCCCCUCCUACCACCCCAGGUACUAAAAACCGCUCCAACUUGCUCAGACUAACAUUCGGCUAGGUCAAGGACUCCAAGCUGAAGACAAUCCAAAGGGGUGAAAAGUCCUCCUGACUCUAAAAUCCUUCUACCAGAGGCACUGGGAAUUUUACAAACACAUCAAAGUACACAUCUGGGAGGAACAAAAUUAGCUAAAUUGUUAAAAACUGACCUUUACAUACCUAAGCUUUUCCAGGUGGCAAAAGAGGUAAGCAGAAGGUGUCGUGUCUGCGCUCAGGUUAACUCAAGUCAUGCAAGUACCCCUGCUACUCCCGGUCACCACCUAAGAGGUCAGCUCCCUGGAGAGCGAUGGAAAAUGGCCUUUACGAAACUGUCUCCUGGACCAAGGGGAUACAAGUACUUACUCGUGCUGGUAAACACCUUCUCCAGAUGGAUUGAGGCCUACCCAACUUGGUCACAGUCAGCUCAGGUAGUAGCUAAGAAAUUGUUAGCUAAAAUUAUCCCCCGGUUUGGCCUACCAGUAACAAUGGGGUCUGACAAGCCCGGCUUUUAUAGCCCAAGUUACCCAAAGCUUAGUAAAAGCAUUAAAAAUCAAAUAAAAACUACACUGCAUCUACAAACUACAAAGCUCAGGGCAGGUAGAAAGGAUGAAUCGGACACUUAAGAAAACCCUCACCAAACUUAAAUUGGAGACUGGCGGGAACUGGGUGAGCUUCCUUCUGUUUGCCUUGCUCAAAGCUAGGUGUACCCCUUAUGUAAAAGGUAUUACUCCAUAUAAAGCCAUGUUCGGCAGGCCGCCCCCGCUCCUCCCCAAGUUAGGGGAAGAGCAGCUCGCCUCCCUGUCUAACUCUGAACUUCUCAAGUCCCUACAGGCCUUACACUACGCCGUCCACACCCACCGCCCGAAACCAGACACUGCGAAAGAAGAAACCCCUACUGCUGAACCUGGUGAUCAAUACUAGCCGCCGAAAACCCCCAAACAGUGGUUAGCCAGGUCAGCACCACUGGCAGCCCUAAAUUUGUUUUUACCUAUGUAAUCUCUUUAAAAAAAAAAAAACCUGAAUGUUGCCAAAAGGGAGGGAGGGGGAACCACCAGAGGUGUCGUGGUGAGUUACCCCUAACACAAGAGCUGUGGCACUCGCACUAUUAUCCUUGGAGCACUACCCCUAAGCUUACUUUAGGUAACUUUCAAGGACAAGGCUCACCCAUGUCCUUCCCCAAGUAUAUAACUAUUCUAGCGAGGGAAGUAGGGAACACCUCAGGCUAACUAACCUCAAACGAGUCAAGCAAGGGGGACCAGUAUUAAUACCUGUGCUCCACAGGCUUGGGGCGGCCGGAGCAGCCGCGGUAGAAACCACAGCUCUUGUCACAGGAAAUCAAAACUUUAAAAUCCUUAGCGCCCAAAUUAAUCAAGAUCUAAAAACCUUAGAAGAGAGCAUUACUAAAUUUAAAAAGUCCUUAAGCUCUUUAGCAGAAAUAGUGCUCCAGAAUCGGAGGGGACUCAACCUUCUAUUCUUAAAGCAGGGAGGGCUCUGUUUAGCCUUAGGCAAAGCAUGCUGUUUUUAUACUAACCACUCAAGUGUAAUUUAAAAAAUUUGAGCCAACUCCAAAAAAAACUACAAGAUAGAGAAAAGCAAAGGAAAAAAAAAAGCAAACAGGUUUAAAAACUUAUUAUCUUGGUCUCCAUGGUUAACUACCCUAAUGUCAAUUGCCGGGCCCCUGGUUCUUCUCCUGUUAGCCUUAAUCAUAGGUCCCUGUGUUAUAAACCGUUUAGUUAAAUCUGUCCGACAGCAUACCCUCAGAAGAAACAAUGAUUUGAUUCUCCCUAAAAACCAGUGGGGAAUGAAGUGGGUCCCUGCCCCUUAACCUUUACAAAAUAAGAAUGUUGUGUAAGCAGCGUUAAGCCCUGAGAAGAAGGACGUGAAACUGCGGUUGCACACAUUAGCCAAGCGUAACGCUUUUAACAAUCAACAAUUGUACCAAUUCCAAGUGAAACUUUUUGUAAAUUUUUCUGUACCAACCUCUGUGCCAACCUUGCUAAAAUGUCCUAAGCAACCAGUAGCUAACUGCCAACUCUGCUUCUGUCAAAAUAGCUUGCUUACGUUUCCAGGAUGUGGUUUCUGCCUGUGUAAGUCCCCAGCACCCUCAGGUCGGGGCUGCUCACUGAACCCCCUGCGCAGAGUGACAGUGAGCAGUCGCCGGCUGGCUAAUAAAGGCUCUUUAAAUUCUG